AUACGUAGGGGGCAAGCGUUAUCCGGAUUUACUGGGUGUAAAGGGAGCGUAGACGGAAUGGCAAGUCUGAUGUGAAAGGCCGGGGCUCAACCCCGGGACUGCAUUGGAAACUGUCAGGCUAGAGUGCAGGAGGGGUAAGCGGAAUUCCUAGUGUAGCGGUGAAAUGCGUAGAUAUUAGGAGGAACACCGGUGGCGAAGGCGGCUUACUGGACUGUAACUGACGCUGAGGCGCGAAAGCGUGGGGAGCGAACAGGAUUAGAUACCCUGGUAGUCCACGCGGUAAACGAUGAAUGCUAGGUGUUGCGGGUAUCGACCCCUGCAGUGCCGGAGUAAACACAAUAAGCAUUCCGCCUGGGGAGUACGGCCGCAAGGUUGAAACUCAAAUGAAUUGGCGGGG
rnacentral:rRNA from 1 species